ensembl:ncRNA asRNA:CR44843 antisense RNA:CR44843
AAAAACAUUAGUUGUCGAUAGCUUCAGCAAGCAAAAAUUAAAAACAUUAGAUUAGAAAAUCCCCAACAAAUAAAGACAGCACUAAAAUGAGGACUUCAACUUUGGCUGUUCAUACACUUGGAUGGGAAAAACGAUGGGAGUGGAAUCUCCGGAAUUAGUAGUCCGGCAGGAUCGGUGGUUCCGGUGACCUUUUGCCGCCCCACGAGUGGAAUCGCUGCUUCUUGCCCAGCACGACGGAGUUGCGCUUCUCGUCGCGCUGCAGCUGGGAUUUGAUGCGGCACCUUUCAAUCACCGCAUCCCGGAUGAUGGGCGAGAACUCCUUGUCACCGAACUGGGCCAUUAGCAGGCGGAAGAAGGCCCAGAUCUCGCCACGCUGAGAUGUGGGUGGUGGGGCGUAGUGCCGGAAGGGCCAUCCCUCCGAGUCCGAAUCCUGGCCACCGGGCCUGGAGCUGUACGCGUCGCAGACAUCCUCAAAGCUCAGUAUGGCCUGCAGGAUGAACCUGCGGUACUUGGAGAGCUGCAGCUCACAGGUUGCCAACUCGGGAUCCUGUUCAGAAAUCGGUGCCGGCACCAGGCUGGCUCCAUAGACUUGACGGCCAAAGGCCAGGAGCACCAUACACAGGACUAUCUUUGCCAUCUUCUCCAGCGGUUUUAGCCGUCUUAAUCCUCUCGGCCAACUGCGUUGUUUGGCGCCCUGCAGCCCUGCUUAUAUAGCCACUCGAUCCGUAAGCCCACCACCGAAACCACCACCACUAGCACCCACCAGCCAGCAACUUUGAAGUCCAUAAAAUAAUUAUAAAACGUUUGUCGUUCGCAUUUUCUAAGCCGUUACACACGUCGCUAAAUAAAUACGAGUGCGU